AUGUCAGUUGGGAUAAUCCUUACCUGUUCCUCCUUUUGGAGUGCAAAUUAGAACAUGAUUGGGGUUCACGUGAUACAUGAUUAACAUCUCUGAGUAAGCAGGACUUUCAGCACCUUGAUUGCUCCUAUCUGAU
ensembl:snoRNA U8 U8 small nucleolar RNA